rnacentral:rRNA from 1 species
UACGUAGGGUGCGAGCGUUAAUCGGAAUUACUGGGCGUAAAGCGUGCGCAGGCGGUUUUGUAAGGCAGAUGUGAAAUCCCCGGGCUUAACCUGGGAAUGGCAUUUGGGACUGCAAGGCUGGAGUGUGGCAGAGGAGACUGGAAUUCCUGGUGUAGCAGUGAAAUGCGUAGAUAUCAAGAGGAAUACCGAUGGCGAAGGUAGGUCUCUGGGCUGACACUGACGCUCAUGCACGAAAGCGUGGGGAGCAAACAGG